rnacentral:rRNA from 1 species
AACUUUAUGAACACUAUGAUCUAAAGCAUAUCCUGCUCAGUGAAAAUAAACAGCCGCAGAAUUUUAUACUGUGCUAAGGUAGCAUAAUCACUUGUCUUUUAAUUAAAGAAUAGAAUGAACGGAAAAACGAAUUUUAACCUGUUUCAUUUUCAUCUAAUAAAAUUAGCUUAAAGUCAAAAUUCUUUAAUAAAAAAAAAAGACGACAAGACCCUAAGAACUUAACUAAAGUUUUGCUGGGGCGGCUUUUUUAAAAAAAUCUUAUAAACAAACUACUCCAUCCUAUCUCUAUUCUAGUUACCUUAGGGAUAACAGCAUAAUUUAAUUUUAAAGCUCUUAUUCAAAAUUAAAAUUAUGACCUCGAUGUUGAAUUAACAAUCUCUUAUAAGAAAAAUUAUAACAAGAAAGUCUGUUCGACUUUUAAACAAUUACA